rnacentral:rRNA from 1 species
UACGUAGGGUGCAAGCGUUAAUCGGAAUUACUGGGCGUAAAGCGUGCGCAGGCGGUUAUGUAAGACAGGUGUGAAAUCCCCGGGCUUAACCUGGGAACCGCAUUUGUGACUGCAUAGCUAGAGUACGGUAGAGGGGGAUGGAAUUCCGCGUGUAGCAGUGAAAUGCGUAGAUAUGCGGAGGAACACCGAUGGCGAAGGCAAUCCCCUGGACCUGUACUGACGCUCAUGCACGAAAGCGUGGGGAGCAAACAGG